rnacentral:other from 1 species
GCUGUGUCGCGUAGGGUACAGAGGUAAAGAUGUUCUAUCUUUCAAACCUGUUUUGAUUGUCCGUUGGACGAUCGCCAAAAUUUGGCCCCCCGGCAAGCUCGCUUGCCGGGGUUUUUUUGU